rnacentral:misc_RNA from 1 species
CGCAGCCGCGGUAAUUCCAGCUCCAAUAGCGUAUAUUAAAGUUGUUGCAGUUAAAAAGCUCGUAGUUGAAUUUCGGGAUUGGCGUAUCGGUCGUGCCUCACGGGGUAUGAACUGGUGCAGUCAAUUUCUCACCUUCUGGAGAACCGCGAUGUCCUUAAUUGGAUGCCGUGGGGAACCAGGACCUUUACUUUGAAAAAAUUAGAGUGUUUAAAGCAGGCAUUUUUGCUUGAAUACAUUAGCAUGGAAUAAUAAAAUAGGACGGCAUGGUUCUAUUUUGUUGGUUUCUAGGACCACCGUAAUGAUUAAUAGGGAUAGUUGGGGGCAUUAGUAUUCAAUUGUCAGAGGUGAAAUUCUUGGAUUUAUUGAAGACUAACUACUGCGAAAGCAUUUGCCAAGGAUGUUUUCAUUAAUCAAGAACGAAAGUUAGGGGAUCGAAGACGAUCAGAUACCGUCGUAGUCUUAACCAUAAACUAUGCCGACUAGGAAUCAGACGAUGUUAAUUUUUUAAUGACUCGUUUGG